UACGGCUUCCCCUUUUCAUUUUUUGCGCCGAGGAGAGCAGCUAGGGACGAGAGUGUGCGUUCGGAGGAGAGAAGAGAGGGGGGCCGAGCGGCGGUGGCGGCGGUGGUGAGUGCUGCCGGCUAAGGCCGCUCAUGGUCGCCGCCCACCGUCUAGUUGCUGGAGGGGUGCGGGGCGAGGAAGGAGGGUAGGGAGGACUAGGCUGCCCCCGCCUCCGCCGCGGAGCAGGCUGAGGAGGAGGGGCAGGAGUAGGAGGAGUAAGAGACGGCGGUGGCGGAGGAGGAGGUCGCGGGGAGGUCGCCGGCGUCGUUGUCGGGGCGGCCGCCGCCGUCCCUCAUGUUGAACAAGCCGCAGCACGGGCAGUCCGGCCGGCGGCCCAUGCCCCUGCUCCUCCUUCUCCUCCGCUCUCUAAACAAGCCGAGGCUGUUGCUCCUCAUGAAGUUCUGGGGGGCGCAUCGUUGAUGGAUUAAGGUCGCGCCCUACGCUGUUGAGUAGACCGGCCUCCUCUUGUACCGUCGCCAUAGAGGACCACUGCCGCCACCCCGUCCGUUACGAAGUUCCGCUGCCCGACUCCGCCGCCACGUCCCUAGGCGAGCCAGACAACAACAACGACUCCCGCCUACCUCGUCGGCCCCGUCCAAGCAGGCACUACGGUUCAAAUAAAAAUCUUCCCUAAACUCUACCGCGGGCUGUAAUAUCAUUCAUGUUCUGACAACGACUUACUCACCACACACGUUGGUCUGGAGGCAGGUGAACAAAGUAGCAAACUUGUAAGUGGCCAAGAACUCUUAGACUGCGAAGUUAACGCAUUCCAUGUUGAUUCGGAUUGAGUAGACCAAGGACUUGGAGAGGUGGUUGAAGAAAGUUCCCCUCUAGGACUUACAGCCGUAGGAACCUGGAAGCUUUCGUCAACAUUCGAAUUGAGAUCGGAGUAGAGUAAGGUGGAACACACAGGAAAUACUAGAGUCGUCUACAAUAUUUAUACUUACUAACCAUAGAUAAUCGAACAUGGUGUUCAGGUGUUGACAUAACCGAACAUUGUGUUCAGGUGUUGACAUGACCUAGUCUAACACGAGACCACGUAAAGUUUACUACGUCCAUACAGCUUUUAGACCUCGAAACGUCCGACGGGUAGGUAUUCCCAACGGCACCUUAGGAGCCCAAGGGAGGUCACGACGGCGUCUUUUACUAGAAUACGAUCUAACUAACAAGUUCAUAAACUAAUGACUAUCCUUGUCAGUCGAAUAAAAUAAAACAUUUUUCUGUCCUUGUUAUAGGUCAUGCUAACUGAAGAAGACAUUGUCGAAGUAACUCCUCGAGUUUCCAGCACUGACACUGACAAGAAUCCGGUUAUGAAAGUAAACAACAAUAUUGUAAACGUAGUAAGAAGUGUUCAACGCUUUAGUUCGUACGAUUGCCACCGCUCGCUAAACUCGCGGUUACUGAGUUGUUGACUAAUAGUUAGUCCAAACAGAUAAAAUAAAAGUAGCCGUUACGACGUAGGAAAAACUCAACGUUACUAGUAUACCAAGUCUAUCUGUUAAAUUAGUAAAAAGAAAAGAUAUGGUUCAAAUACGAAGUUAGCUAAUUGUUAAUAAAACUUAGUGUUUGGAUAAUAAGAAACCUCACCGGUUUACACAUAGAAACUUAGAGGUUCACGGUGGCCUCCCGAUAUAUAUAAAGUAACCAAGUACCUAGUAAUCCUCCGUGUAUUACCAUCUUUAUUAAUCGAACGUUCAAGAUAUAACGGUCUCCUCAGUAUUAAGCACAUCCCCUCGUUUCGGUAUGUACUAUUCGUUCCCCUUGUACGUUGUAUGCAUCGGCUCGCACAGUUGUGGUGUAUGUUGUCGAUAUAGGUCGUUUAAAAGAAAACUAAAACGAAAUAAGAUAACUAGUCUAAAAGGUUCAGUAAAAAGGAAGCUCCAUAAAUCGUAACGGUUUAAAUAUAUAAAUGGAUUUAAAUUAGAACUGAGCUAAACGACACCAGUUAUGUUCGUACUACGGAAAAGAAAAGAUAUUUCACCUACGUCCCAAUCAAAUGAUACGGCUAGACUCGCUCGCAGUCCGCGCGUUUCGAGUGGCAGGUGUACGGAGGAGAAGCAGACGUAGGCGUCACGGUUUAGUGAGGGGUAGGCUCGUCGAUAUAGAUUUGAAGAACUAUUACGUCAUCUACUCCUUGUUUACAAAUGUCUAGUGUGCUGAUGAGGUGUUAGAUUUUGUGACUCAUAAAACUUCAACCAACAAGUUCGUCUGUGUUACACGUGACUGUUUUCUACCGUCCUUGUUACCAUGUGUCAGUACUAUAUUAUUGCAACAUCUAUCUACCUCUGACUUAAUCAAGUGUAAUGAAACUACAGAUAGCUCGGUUACCUUGUUGUUUCUUUUCUUCUUGGCCUUCGUCCAAAAGAUAGAAGUGGUCAUAAAGGAACAAAGAUUAACAACCGAGAAAGGAUACCGGAUUCAAGUUGCUUGACGAGACUUUCCCCUACAACUCCCACUGCGGCGGCGGCUCGUUCAGCCGUAGACAUUUCGAAACGGCCUCGGUAAGGUCGAGAAAGUCUCGGUGUUCCGUUCCUUCGGCUCCUUGAUCCUGCGGUUGUCACGCCUC
rnacentral:rRNA from 1 species